rnacentral:rRNA from 1 species
AGCAGCCGCCGCGGUAAAACGUAGGUGGCGAGCGUUGUCCGGAAUUAUUGGGCGUAAAGGGAGCGCAGGCGGACAUAUAAGUCCAUCUUAAAAGUGCGGGGCUCAACCCCGUGAGGGGAUGGAAACUGUAUGCCUUGAGUGCAGGAGAGGAAAGCGGAAUUCCCAGUGUAGCGGUGAAAUGCGUAGAUAUUGGGAGGAACACCAGUGGCGAAGGCGGCUUUCUGGACUGUAACUGACGCUGAGGCUCGAAAGCCAGGGGAGCGAACGGGAUUAGAUACCCCAGUAGUCCCUGUCUCUUAUACA